CAAUUAUUGGCUCAUCAAGGAGUGUGCCACAUGCCAGAUGCUCUGCAGAACCCAACAGAGGGGUUGCUCCUCCAUGGAAACAACAAGAAGCUUUGAUCAAAGAGCCUGUAUUGACUCCUUCAGUGAAAUUCUUGACUGAAAUAAUCACCUUCUUAAAAUACACACAUGGUGAGGUUUGAAGAGGGGAAAUUGCCAUCCAGGUAAGAAACCUUGGCCUUGUCCCAAUUUAGUAGUGCUGAAGGUGUGUUCAUUUGAACAUAGAUCAUGUGCUAGGUACUGGGAGGAUACAGGAAUGAGCAUGGGAAUAAACUUUACAUAGCUCUUGUUCAAGCAGGAACUUUACAAUCUAGUUAGAAUAAAGAAUUAUCUGUGAGUCCUGGUUGGACAGUGUGUAUCCCAGCACUAUCUAGGGGUAAGGAUGCCUUCAUACCAACCUCGUCAUGACUGUGCUAAGUGGCAGGUCUGAUUUGGUUAUAGAACUGGAUACAUCAGACAGUUUUAACUUUAUGCUAUUAAAUAUUUGAACAUA
rnacentral:lncRNA from 1 species